AACGAACGCUGGCGGCAGGCCUAACACAUGCAAGUCGAACGCCCCGCAAGGGGAGUGGCGCACGGGUGAGUAACGCGUGGGAAUAUGCCCUUCGGUUCGGAAUAACACAGGGAAACUUUUGCUAAUACCGGAUACGAUCUACGGAUGAAAGAUUUAUCGCCGAGGGAGUAGCCAGCGUAGGAUUAGCUAGUUGGUGAGGUAAUGGCUCACCAAGGCGACGAUCCUUAGCUGGUCUGAGAGGAUGAGCAGCCACACUGGGACUGAGACACGGCCCAGACUCCUACGGGAGGCAGCAGUGGGGAAUAUUGGACAAUGGGCGAAAGCCUGAUCCAGCCAUGCCGCGUGAGUGAUGAAGGCCUUAGGGUUGUAAAGCUCUUUCGCCAGGGAAGAUAAUGACGGUACCUGGAAAAGAAGCCUCGGCUAACUCCGUGCCAGCCGCCGCGGUAA
rnacentral:rRNA from 1 species